rnacentral:rRNA from 1 species
ACGAACUGUGCGAACGUUAUUCGGAAUCACUGGGCUUAAAGGGUGCGUAGGCGGCUUUGUAGGUCAGAUGUGAAAGCCCACGGCUCAACCGUGGAAUUGCGUUUGAAACCACAAAGCUUGAGGGAGAUAGAGGAGAGCGGAACUGAUGGUGGAGCGGUGAAAUGCGUUGAUAUCAUCAGGAACACCGGUGGCGAAAGCGGCUCUCUGGAUCUCUUCUGACGCUCAGGCACGAAAGCUAGGGGAGCGAACGGG